GGAAUAUUGGGCAAUGGGCGAAAGCCUGACCCAGCGACGCCGCGUGCGGGAUGAAGGCCUUCGGGUUGUAAACCGCUUUCAGCAGGGAAGAAGCGAAAGUGACGGUACCUGAAGAAGAAGCACCGGCUAACUAUGUGCCAGCAGCCGCGGUAAUACAUAGGGUGCAAGCGUUGUCCGGAAUUAUUGGGCGUAAAGAGCUCGUAGGUGGUUCGUUACGUCGGAUGUGAAAACCUGAGGCUCAACCUCAGGCCUGCAUUCGAUACGGGCGAACUUGAGUGUGGUAGGGGAGGCUGGAAUUCCUGGUGUAGCGGUGGAAUGCGCAGAUAUCAGGAGGAACACCAAUGGCGAAGGCAGGCCUCUGGGCCACUACUGACACUGAGGAGCGAAAGCGUGGGGAGCAAACAGGAUUAGAUACCCUGGUAGUCCACGCUGUAAACGGUGGGCACUAGUUGUGGGAACCUUCCACGGUUUCUGCGACGCAGCAAACGCAUUAAGUGCCCCGCCUGGGGAGUACGAUCGCAAGAUUAAAACUCAAAUGAAUUGACGG
rnacentral:rRNA from 1 species